UAUCUGUCUGAUGCGGUGACAAGAAAAAAAGGGAGUGUCAUGCGCAGCAAACCUAGAAGGUUGUUGCGAGCAGAGAUGAGCAGAAGACUGACCCUCCAGGAGCCACGUACCCACAUCUACCACCUCUUCUAAUAAGUGCCUUGAACACAUUAAUUCCCUGGGAAGGAAGAAGGACUGCUGGGCUGAGGGUGUGGCCACAGCAGGAGUGAAGAGUAGGGGUGAGCUGGCCCAGAGCCUGAGUGAUGCCCGAGGGACACUUCCAGGUGAGUCAGAAAGUGUGGCUGAGGCCAUGUCAACUGGACUCUGCCAAUGACAC
rnacentral:lncRNA from 1 species